UUAACACAUGCAAGUCGAGGGGUAUAGUAGCAAUACUAGAGACCGGCGCACGGGUGCGUAACGCGUAUGCAAUCUACCUUUCACAGAGGGAUAGCCCAGAGAAAUUUGGAUUAAUACCUCAUAGUAUUAUGAAUUGGCAUCAUUUUAUAAUUAAAGAUUUAUCGGUGAAAGAUGAGCAUGCGUCCCAUUAGCUAGAUGGUAAGGUAACGGCUUACCAUGGCUACGAUGGGUAGGGGUCCUGAGAGGGAGAUCCCCCACACUGGUACUGAGACACGGACCAGACUCCUACGGGAGGCAGCAGUGAGGAAUAUUGGUCAAUGGGCGCAAGCCUGAACCAGCCAUGCCGCGUGCAGGAUGACGGUCCUAUGGAUUGUAAACUGCUUUUGUACAGGAAGAAACACUCCCUCGUGAGGGAGCUUGACGGUACUGUAAGAAUAAGGAUCGGCUAACUCCGUGCCAGCAGCCGCGGUAAUACGGAGGAUCCAAGCGUUAUCCGGAAUCAUUGGGUUUAAAGGGUCCGUAGGCGGCUUAAUAAGUCAGUGGUGAAAUCCCUACGCUUAACGUAGGAACGGCCAUUGAUACUGUUAGGCUUGAAUUAUUAGGAAGUAACUAGAAUAUGUAGUGUAGCGGUGAGAUGCUUA
rnacentral:rRNA from 1 species